rnacentral:rRNA from 1 species
GGCCAGACUCCUACGGGAGGCAGCAGUGGGGGAUAUUGCACAAUGGGGGGAACCCUGAUGCAGCGACGCCGCGUGGGUGAAGAAGUAUUUCGGCAUGUAAAGCCCUAUCGGCAGGGAAGAAAUUGGACGGUACCUGACUAAGAAGCCCCGGCUAACUACGUGCCAGCAGCCGCGGUAAUACGUAGGGGGCAAGCGUUAUCCGGAUUUACUGGGUGUAAAGGGGGCGCAGACGGCGAUGCAAGCCAGGAGUGAAAGCCCGGGGCCCAACCCCGGGACUGCUCUUGGAACUGCGUGGCUGGAGUGCAGGAGGGGCAGGCGGAAUUCCUGGUGUAGCGGUGAAAUGCGUAGAUAUUAGGAGGAACACCAGUGGCGAAGGCGGCCUGCUGGACAGUAACUGACGUUGAGGCUCGAAAGCGUGGGGAGCAAACAGGAUUAGAUCCCCCGGUA